rnacentral:lncRNA from 1 species
AUAAGACUAGCAUAUGUAAAGAACAACAUUAAGGAAGGCUUAUAGAAGAAUUGGGACAUACUAUAAAGAUCAUCUAUCCAGUGAGAUGGGCAGGCUCUCUUCACUUCAAAAGACUACCAAGUCCAGCUAAGCAAUGAGAUAACUCCAAAAAUAAAUGAGGAACUAUUGAAGUGAUAUGUAAAUGGACGUACAGCUAGAAUCAAAUUUGAUUUUGCUUUGUUUCAAGAACAAUAUGGAAGAAAUAAAUCUGACAUGCCAACUGCUGACAUAAAUAUAUCAAAACAUAAAAAUCUGAAGUGAAAAAGACAGGCUGUAGCUUAUACUGCUUUACCUCGGAGAGGGUACAGUCAACAUCAGCUCCAAGGGAAGAAAAUGAUCAGGAGGAAGAGAAUAAAGAGAAGGAAGAAAAGGAAGAGGAGGAAGAAGAAUAUCACAUCAACAAAUUUGUAUUGCAGGACUACUCUACACAGAGAUGGUUCUAAGCACUGGGAAUACAGGACUGAACAAGAGAGGUCUACUUAUGAGGAAUGGAAUUUUGGAAAGGAAGAUAACAUCUAAUUGAGAAUCGAUAGCUUUUUGAUCAAAAACAACUGCACAUGUUCAUCUGUUAACGAAAAAUUUCUGCAUCAACCCUGAGCUGAAAAUAUUGCAAUGAAACUUGACCACUGCUAAGCUAUUGAAAUGUGCGAUAGGGUACACAUCCAGAUGGCCGGUUCCUGCCUUAACUGAUGACAUUCCACCACAAAAGAAGUGAAAAUGCCUGUUCCUGCCUUAACUGAUGACACUGUCUUGUGAAUUCCUUCUGCUGGCUCAUCCUGGCUCAAAAGCUCCCCCACUGAGUACCUUGUGACCCCCAUUCCUGCCCACCAGAGAACAACCCCCCUUUUUCCUUUACCUACCCAAAUCCUAUAAAAUGGCCCCACCCCUAUCUCCCUUCAUUGACUCUCUUUUCGGACUCAGCCCGCCUGCACCCAGGUGUUUAAAAGAUUUAUUGCUCACACAAAGCCCGUUUGGCAGUCUCUUCACACGGAUGCACAUGAAAUUUGGUGCCGUGACUCGGAUGGGCGACCUGCAUUAGGAGAUCAAUCCCCUGUCCUCCUGCUCUUUGCUCCGUGAGAAAAGUCCACCUACGACCUCAGGUCCUCCGACCGACCAGCCCAAGAAACAUCUCACCAAUUUCAAAUCCAGUAAGCGGCCUCUUUUUACUCUCUUCUCCAACCUCCCUCACUAUCCCUCAACGUCUUUCUCCUUUCAAUCUUGGUGCCACACUUCAAUCUCCCCCUUCUCUUAAUUUCAAUUCCUUUCAUUUUCUGGUAAGAGACAAAGGAGACACGUUUUAUCCGUGGACCCAAAACUCCAGCAUCAGUGAUGGACUAGGGAAGGCAGCCUUCCCUUGGUGUUUAAUCAUUGCAGGGAUGCCUCUCUGAUUAUUCAACCAGGUUUCAGAGGUGUCAGACCACGUGGGGAUGCCUGCCGUGGUCCUUCACCCUUAGCAUCAAGUCCCGCUUUUCUGGGGGAGGGGCAAGUACACCAACCCCUUCUCCUUCACCCUUAGUGGCAAGUCCCGCUUUUCUUGGAGGAAAGAACCCCCAAUCCCUUAUUUCCAUGCCCCGACCUCUUAUCUCUGUGCCCCAAUCCCUUAUUUCCAUGCCCCGACCUCUUAUCUCUGCGCUCCAAUCCCUUAUUUCUGCACCCUGACCUCUUAUCUCUGCACCCCAACCCCUUAUUUCCAUGCCUUGACCCCUUUCCCACUUUUCUGGAAGGUAAGAAACCCCUGAACCCCUUCCCUCCGUGUCUCUACUUUCUCUUUUCUCUAGGCUUGCCUCCUUCACUAUGGGCAAUCUUCCACCCUCCAGUCCUCCGUCUCCCUUAGCCUGUGCUCUCAAGAACUUAAAACCUCUUCAACUCACACCUGACCUAAAACCUAAAUGCCUUAUUUUCUUCUGCAAUGCAGCUUGACCCCAAUACAAACUUGACAGUGGUUCCAAAUAGCCAGAAAAUGGCACUUUCAAUUUUUCCAUCCUGCAAGAUCUAAAUAAUUCUUGUUGUCAAAUAGGCAAAUGGUCUGAGGUGCCUGACAUCCAGGCAUUCUUUUACACAUCGGUCCCUCUCUAGUCUCUGUUCCCAAUGCAACUCAUCCCAAAUCUUCCUUCUUUCCCUCCCACCUGGCCCCUCAGUCCCAACCCCAAGCGUCACUGAGUCUUUCUAAUCUUCCUUUUCUACAGACCCAUCUGACCUCUCCCCUCCUCCCCAGGCUGCUCCUCGCCAGGCCAAGCUAGGUUCCAAUUCUUCCUCAGCCUCCGCUCCUCCACCCUAUAAUCCUUUUAUCACCUCUGCUCCUCACACCUGGUCCGGCUUACAGUUUCGUUCUGUGACUAGCCCUCCCCCACCUGCCCAGCGAUUUAUUCUUACAAAGGCGGCUGGAGCUAAAGGCAUAGUCAAGGUUAAUGCUCCUUUUUCUUUAUCCCAAAUCAGAUAGCAUUUAGGCUCUUUUUCAUCAAAUAUAAAAAUCCAGCCCAGUUCAUGGCUUGUUUGGCAGCAACACUGAGACGCUUUACAGCCCUAGACCCUAAAAAGUCAAAAGGCCAUCUUAUUCUCAAUACACAUUUUAUUACCCAAUCUGCUCCUGACAUUAAAUAAAAAUCCAAAAAUUAAAUUCCGGCCCUCAAACCCCACAACAGGACUAAAGUAACCUCACCUUCAAGGUGUACAAUAAUAGAGGCACCAAGUAGCAACAUAUUUCUGAGUUGCAAUUCCUUUCCUCCACUGUGAGACAAACCCCAGCCACAUCUCCAGCACACAAGAACUUCCAAAUGCCUAAACCGCACUGGCCAGGCAUUCCUCCAGAACCACCUCCCCCAGGAGCUUGCUACAAGUGCCAGAAAUCUGCCCGCAGCCCGGGAUUCCUCCUAAGCCGUGUCCCAUCUGUGCGGGACCCCACUGGAAAUCGGACUGUUCAACUCACCUGGCAGCCACUCCCAGAGAUGCUGGAACUCUGGCCCAAGGCUCUCUGACUGACUCCUUCCCAGACCUUCUCGGCUUAGCAGCUAAAGACUGACGCUGCCUGAUCACCUCAGAAGCCCCCUAGACCAUCACAGACGCCGAGCUUCAGGUAACUCUCACAGUGGAAGGUAAGUCCGUCCCCUUCUUAAGCAAUACGGAGGCUACCCACUCCACAUUACCUUCUUUUCAAGGGCCUGUUUCCCUUGCCUCCAUAACUGUUUGUGGGUAUUGACAGCCAGGCUUCUAAACUUCUUAAAACUCCCCAACUCUGGUGCCAACUUAGACAAUACUCUUUUAAGCACUCCUUUUAGUUAUCCGCACCUGCCCAGUUCCCUUAUUAUGCCGAGACACCUUAACUAAAUUAUCUGCUUCCCUAACUAUUCCUGGAUUACAGCUACAUCUCAUUGAAGCCCUUCUUCCCAAUCCAAAGCCUCCUUUGCAUCCUCCUCUUGUAUCCCCCAACCUUAACC